rnacentral:misc_RNA from 1 species
UCUCCGUUGGUGAACCAGCGGAGGGAUCAUUACCGAGUUUAUAGCUCUCAAACACCAUGUGCACCUUACCAAACGUUGCUUCGGCGGGAUGCCCCGGGCGCCGGCCGCAAGGCCUCUGCCCCGGGACCAGGCGCGCGCCGGAGCCCCAAACAAAACUCUUGUUUCUGUAGAAGCGUCAUAGUUGCCUUUAAGGCAAAAAAUGAAUCAAAACUUUCAACAACGGAGCUCUUGGUUCUG